rnacentral:rRNA from 1 species
AGUGAACGCUGGCGGUAGGCCUAACACAUGCAAGUCGAACGGCGGCACAGUAAGAGCUUGCUCUUACGGGUGGCGAGUGGCGGACGGGUGGGGAAUACAUCGGAAUCUACUUUUUCGUGGGGGAUAACGUAGGGAAACUUACGCUAAUACCGCAUACGACCUACGGGUGAAAGCAGGGGAUCUUCGGACCUUGCGCGAUUGAAUGAGCCGAUGUCGGAUUAGCUAGUUGGCGGGGUAAAGGCCCACCAAGGCGACGAUCCGUAGCUGGUCUGAGAGGAUGAUCAGCCACACUGGAACUGAGACACGGUCCAGACUCCUACGGGAGGCAGCAGUGGGGAAUAUUGGACAAUGGGCGCAAGCCUGAUCCAGCCAUACCGCGUGGGUGAAGAAGGCCUUCGGGUUGUAAAGCCCUUUUGUUGGGAAAGAAAAGCAGCAGGUUAAUACCCCGCUGUUCUGACGGUACCCAAAGAAUAAGCACCGGCUAACUUCGUG